rnacentral:rRNA from 1 species
GUGAGGAAUAUUGGUCAAUGGGCGAGAGCCUGAACCAGCCAAGUCGCGUGAAGGAUGAAGGUUUUAUGAAUUGUAAACUUCUUUUGCAGGGGAAUAAAGUACGGUACGUGUACCGUUUUGUAUGUACUCUGCGAAUAAGGAUCGGCUAACUCCGUGCCAGCAGCCGCGGUAAUACGGAGGAUCCAAGCGUUAUCCGGAUUUAUUGGGUUUAAUGGGUGCGCAGGCGGGUUGUUUAGUCGCCGGUGAAAGUUUGCAGCUUAACUGUAAAAUUGCCGUUGAAACUGUCGAUCUUGAGUGCAAAUGAGGUAAGCGGAAUGUGUUGUGUAGCGGUGAAAUGCUUAGAUAUAACACAGAACACCGAUUGCGAAGGCAGCUUACUGGGAUGCAACUGACGCUCAUGCACGAAAGCGUGGGGAUCAAACAGGAUUAGAUACCCGUGUAGUCC